GUUUGAAGCAAGAUGGCUGCGGGGAAAGACGUUUACAAAUGGAUUGUGAGCAGACCAGGGCACUUAUAAAGUUCAGGACAGAAAACGAGGAGCAGUUCACUAAAAAGAAAUAUGCAUCCAAGCAGCUAUAUGAGACACUGAUCAAGCAGCUGGACCUGGAGGGAAAGGUCAAUGUACAGCAGGUUGGAAAGAAAUGGGAAAAUUAAAAAAAGAAAUAUAAGGAUCUGAAAACCCCAAGGACAGGCUCAGGGACCGAAAAUGGGGAAAGAACUGCUGCCAACUGGCCGUUCUACCACGACAUGCAUGAGGUCCUUGGUGCCAGGCCAUGCAUAGAGCCCCCUGUAUUAGUGGCAUCUUUUAAUGAAGGUGAUGAUGCCACAACAUUACUGCCCAUCGUUGAACCAAGAGAGGAUUCUGCCUCCACUUCUGGUCUUCCAACCACCCCCACUGCUCCUGAUCCCAUCCUGAUUCCCGCAACACCAUCUCCCAGGAAGAAACGCAUGAAGAGGAGCAAUCCUAUCCUGGAAUUCCUUCAACAGGAAUCCGCCAAGGAGCAGAAGAGGCACGAUGAGACUGAGGCCAAGACAGAACGUUUCCUCAGUCUGUUUGAGAGGCUUGUAAAUAAAA